rnacentral:lncRNA from 1 species
AUAAAUAAAAAGCAAAUUUCUUCAAACAUUUUUUUGAGAGGACUAAUAUUCAACAGCAUAGUGAAUUGCUCAAAGGCAAAAAAAAAUAUUUUAAGUUCAUUAGACCACAUUCAUUCUGUGUCAGAAACCUAUGCUGUGUCAACUAUUUAAUCACAAUCCAAAUUUAGAGCUGAAUCCAGCUUAAAUGUUGUGUCCAUACUUGCCCCACCCGUAUAGGGUUCAACCUCUGCGGUCG